UGUAUCUCUGGGAGAUUUUUGGUUUUGGCAGCUUUAGCCAAAGACAGUUGCAUGGGUUGAAAGAGAAGUUGGAGGAAUACGAGAUGGGGAAAAUUAAGAAAAUACAGAAGGGGAGACGGAAAGUAGAUCGGAAAGCUUAUGGUAUGUGGAAAGAAGAGACUGAUAAAAAAUGUAGGCAGAGUAGAGUAGGGACUACUGAUCAAUGUGUUCUGGCUUCUCCUACUAGAGUGGAUGUGGACCUGGACUGCCCUCCGUCUGGCCGACCUCCCUCUUAUAAUGCUGUGCGAAAGUCCGAAACAGUUCCUGAACUGAGGGCAGGAAUUCCACCGAAGCUGUCUCAAGAUAGUCCCCCUCCUGCCCUAAAGAUGUAUUCUUCGCUCGUGGCCGACCUUGGUGCGACGUCCCCAGUUGCUGGGAGGACCAGGAGCGUGACAUCGUUUGUGCAGCCUGAAGGUCGGUUCCCGAUGGUAGAAGUUUCAAACCCGGUCGCAGGAGGUGAAGACUACGCACCCUCAACUAUUUUCGUCUACAGCCCAUGGUUGCCUGCCGACCUGAGAGACGUGGCCGCCUCGCUACUCAACCCGGGAUUUGGAAGGAGGAGAGGAAUUCAAUUAUGUUUUUCUCCAGAUGCUUGAACAAUAUAAACCAAAUAUAGUUGAAGAGGAAAUGGUAAUGAUGAAAGCACUGCAGCUCAGAUGGGGAAGGGUGAAAGGAGACUGGCCCGUGCAGAAUUCUCCGUAUAAUUGGGAUCUCAAUACAGGUUAACAAUUAUGGCGCUGUGUGGACGGGUAGGUGCCUUUUUCCAGAGAUGGAUGAACUGGGAGACAAUUUCUGACUGCAAACAGAAACCAGGGGAAAGAGUCACAGACUAUCACAAUAGACUUGAGAAAGAAUUUGAAAUUCACAGCGGGAUGGGCCAAAAACCAGAAGGGGCUAAUGAUUCUCCCUGGGAACAACAGUGUAAGAUAAGACUGGUUGAAGGUCUACUCCCAGAUUUGCAGAAACAUGUAAAGGAGCACUGUGUGGCCUUGGACGAGAGCCGCAUGGGAAUCGUUUGGCCGUAUAUCAAGCACGCUGAAAAAGUCUACGAGGGCCAAAAAGAUAAGAAAAAAGAUGAGAAAGGGAAGCGCAAAACGAAACUACAGAUGGCCAAACUAGGUUUCUACAGCGGCUACGAUCAAGGAGGCCGAGGACGUGGUAGAGCUAGAGGACGACCACCAACUCGAGGAUAAGGAUACGUGUGAAAAGGAUUUUGCAAUGAAGAAUUGAUACGGAAUAAUAUAUUGUUGACUGGUACACAUCAACUGUGAAAGACGGAAUCUAAAACAAAAAUCCCAGACAGUGAGUUCACAGACCGUGAGUUCCAAUGUGUUCCUGAGCCCAUGCAGUGAUGUCCACUACAGAACCGUGUCUGUUUUUAAUGCAGUGCUGCCUGAGGGCCCAAAGAUUACGGCCAUCCAAUUUUUGGGCCUUUCCCUUGCG
ensembl:lncRNA